CAAAUCCGUAUGGAGGGUUCCCAGAUCGCAAAUUUCAAAGAGAGUACAUUUCCUACUUGAAAAAGAGUACAAAAGAGUAAAUUAUGCGGAAGUGGAAAAGACUAGGUAAAAUUAAUUUUGCAGAAAGAAAGGCUUCAAUCAUUAAAAAAUUCUUCACGAUUUAUGUUCUAACAAUUUCAACAUUUGUGACGAGUUUAUGAUUAUUGAGCAGUGAAACUCCGAAUUAAGUUUUGCGCUUGAGACGCUUUCAUUAAAUCAUAUUAAGCUUCAAUCGUCACUAUUGUUUCAAGGCUUCAGGCACCCCGUUCUUUGACCAUUAGUCAGAAUUUCUG